GCAGAGAACCUCCCUCGUACCUUUCGCAUCAUGAUUCAGCCAGUAAAACACAUGCAAAGAGCCCUCUAGUUUGUGACCCCGAAACCCGACGAGCUACUCCGGGACAGCCUAUUAGAGCCAACCCAUCUCUGUGGCAAAAGAGUGGGAAGAUCCCCGAGUAGAAGCAAAAAACCUACCGAGCCGGGUUAUAGCUGGUUGCCCAAUAAAUGAAUAAAAGUUCAGCUCCGCCAGGCCCAACUCACAACGGUUUAACCACAAAAGACAAAGUGCCAUUAAGCGGAAGUUAGUCAGAGGAGGUACAGCUCCUCCGACAAAGGACACAACCUUAACAGAAGAUUAAGGAAUAUAAUUAAACAAGGCCACAGGUCUCAGUGGGCCUGAAAGCAGCCACCCGACCAGAAAGCGUUAAAGCUCAGACCAUACUACGCCUAUUAUCAGAUUAGACACUCCAAAAUCCCUUUAACUACUGGGCCCUUCCAUGCACCCAUAGAAGAGAUUAUGCUGAAACGAGUAACAAGAAGAUUGAACUUCUCCCCGCACAAGUGUAAGUCGAACCGGACACACCACCGACAAUUAACGAACCCAAGAACAGAGGGCCAUACACCACUACCAACUCAGGUCAAGAAAACCACGUUCUCUUAAAUCGUUAUUCCCACACAGGAGUGCUAAAGAAAGGAAAGACUAAAAGAAAGAAAAGGAACUCGGCAAACCGAAACCCCGCCUGUUUACCAAAAACAUCGCCUCUUGCUCCCCCAGUAUAAGAGG
rnacentral:rRNA from 1 species